GGGCCUAUGGCCAAAUGGACACGGCGCCUGACUACGAAUCAGGAGAUUCCAGGUUCGACCCCUGGUAGGCUCG
rnacentral:tRNA from 1 species